UGGGGAAUAUUGGACAAUGGGCGAAAGCCUGAUCCAGCAAUGCCGCGUGAGUGAUGAAGGCCUUAGGGUUGUAAAGCUCUUUUACCCGGGAUGAUAAUGACGGUACCCGUAGAAGAAGCUCCGGCUAACUUCGUGCCAGCAGCCGCGGUAAUACGAAGGGGGCUAGCGUUGUUCGGAAUUACUGGGCGUAAAGCGCACGUAGGCGGUUUUCCAAGUUGGAGGUGAAAUCCCCGGGCUUAACCUGGGAACUGCCUCCAAGACUGGGAGACUCGAGUCCGAGAGAGGUGAGUGGAAUUUCCAGUGUAGAGGUGAAAUUCGUAGAUAUUGGAAAGAACACCAGUGGCGAAGGCGGCUCACUGGCUCGGUACUGACGCUGAGGAGCGACAGCGUGGGGAGCAAA
rnacentral:rRNA from 1 species